rnacentral:rRNA from 1 species
CUUCUUGGAUGAGUUGCGAACGGGUGAGUAACGCGUAGGUAACCUGCCUUGUAGCGGGGGAUAACUAUUGGAAACGAUAGCUAAUACCGCAUAACAAUGGAUGACACAUGUCAUUUAUUUGAAAGGGGCAAUUGCUCCACUACAAGAUGGACCUGCGUUGUAUUAGCUAGUAGGUGAGGUAACGGCUCACCUAGGCGACGAUACAUAGCCGACCUGAGAGGGUGAUCGGCCACACUGGGACUGAGACACGGCCCAGACUCCUACGGGAGGCAGCAGUAGGGAAUCUUCGGCAAUGGGGGCAACCCUGACCGAGCAACGCCGCGUGAGUGAAGAAGGUUUUCGGAUCGUAAAGCUCUGUUGUAAGUCAAGAACGAGUGUGAGAGUGGAAAGUUCACACUGUGACGGUAGCUUACCAGAAAGGGACGGCUAACUACGUGCCAGCAGCCGCGGUAAUACGUAGGUCCCGAGCGUUGUCCGGAUUUAUUGGGCGUAAAGCGAGCGCAGGCGGUUUGAUAAGUCUGAAGUUAAAGGCUGUGGCUCAACCAUAGUUCGCUUUGGAAACUGUCAAACUUGAGUGCAGAAGGGGAGAGUGGAAUUCCAUGUGUAGCGGUGAAAUGCGUAGAUAUAUGGAGGAACACCGGUGGCGAAAGCGGCUCUCUGGUCUGUAACUGACGCUGAGGCUCGAAAGCGUGGGGAGCGAACAGGAUUAGAUACCCUGGUAGUCCACGCCGU